rnacentral:tRNA from 1 species
UGCAUAAUAGUGUAAUUGGAAACACAAUAGUCUCAUAAUCUAUUAUUUUACGUUCAAUUCGUAAUUAUGCGU